GGGCUUUGCUAGGUGAGUAGGGUGUGACGGGCUGGCUAGGUGAGUAGGGUGUGACGGGCUGGCUUAGAGGUAGACAGAGAAAUGUAAAACAUUAUAAACAGUUUCACUGCAGUUGACUAUAUUAUAUUUGUCUCUAUCACUUCAUACUAGUCUGCUUCUUGAACAGUUUGGUAAAUAAAUAAUAUUUUAAACUGGAUAAUGAGGGCUGGGGGAAUAGAUGUUAGUAGAUAGUGAGGUAAUUGAUGUUAGUAGAUAGGGAGGUAAAAGAUGUUAGCAGAUGAGGUAAUAGAUGUUAGUAGAUAGUGAGGGCUGCGGGAAUAGAUGUUAGUAGAUAGUGAGGUAAUAGAUGUUAGUAGAUAGUGAGGGCUGGGGAAUAGAUGUGAGUAGAUAGUGAGGUAAUAGAUGUUAGUAGAUAAUGAGGGCUGUGGGGAAUAGAUGUUAGUAGAUAAUGAGGGCUGUGGGGAAUAGAUGUGAGGUAAUAGAUGUAGUAGAUAGUGAGGUAAUAAAUGUUAGUAGAUAAUGAGGGCUGUGGGGAAUAGAUGUGAGGUAAUAGAUGUAGUAGAUAGUGAGGUAAUAGAUGUUAGUAGAUAAUGAGGGCUGUGGGGAAUAGAUGAUAGUAGAUAGUGAGGUAAUAGAUGUUAGUAGAUAAUGAGGGCUGUGGGGAAUAGAUGAUAGUAGAUAGUGAGGUAAUAGAUGUUAGUAGAUAGUGAGGUAAUAGAUGUAGUAGAUAAUGAGGGCUGUGGGGAAUAGAUGUAGUAGAUAGUGAGGUAAUAGAUGUUAGUAGAUAGUGAGGGCUGGGGGAAUAGAUGUUAGUAGAUAGUGAGGUAAUAGAUGUUAGUAGAUAAUGAGGGCUGUGGGGAAUAGAUGUUAGUAGAUAAUGAGGGCUGUGGGGAAUAGAUGUAGUAGAUAGUGAGGUAAUAGAUGUUAGUAGAUAAUGAGGGCUGGGGAAUAGAUGAUAGUAGAUAGUGAGGUAAUAGAUGUUAGUAGAUAGUGAGGGCUGGGGGAAUAGAUGUUAGUCCAUUGUACAGAAAGAAGAGUGAGACCAUUCCCAGCUAGCACAUAACGGUCUGAGAACCAUAUGUUUCUUAGAUCUUGGUGAGAGCGUUGUCUUGUCCUAGUUAUUUCGCAUAAAACCUUCCCACAGUGUUCUGGGAAUGUUACAGGAUAUCCAGCUAGCACAUAACCAGAACCCUAUUUUCCUAUGUGGGAAUGUCAUUAAAUCAGCAUAACAUUAUUUUUAUACCACUUUUUUCGUAGUAUCCAAAUUGUUACAAUCUUGUCCCAUCGCUGCAACUCCUGUACGGACUCAGGAGAGGCGAAGGUCGAGAGCCGUGUGUCCUCCGAAACACAACCCAACCAAGCCUCACUGCUUCUUGACACAACGCUCGCUUAACCCGGAAAGGCAGCCGCACCAAUGUGUCGGAGGAAACACCGUAUACCUGGCGACCGUGUCAGCGUGCUUUGCGCCUCUGCCCGCCACAGGAAUCGCUAGUGCGCGAUGGGACAAGAACAUCCAUGCCGGCCAAACCUCCCCUAACCCGGACGACAAUUGUGCGCCGCCAGAGCCUGGACUCGAACCACUGAGCCAGUUAGGAGGCCCAACAUAACAUUUUCUACGGGGUGCCUCGUGGUUCUAUUUAAAGUUAUGUUCUCAAUUCAUUCAGAGAACGUUAAGGAACAACGUUCUUCUGUGGGAAUUUCAGUACUUCAUUAUGGUCCUAUUUAAAAUGUUCUCAGAACGUUUCCAUAAAAAAAAACACAAUAAAACAUUAGAAACGCUCAAAGUACAUAAGAAUGUUAUUUAAAAACCUAUACACUCUGUUCUCUGCAUCAACAAAACUCUCUAUCCUCUAUCUUGUGUUAAGUAUGUUCAGGUGUCUUGGCCACGCCCACUAAUUGGCCACACCUGAUAUUAAUGAGUGCUUGUUUGUUUUGAAAUGGGUUUCUGUUUGAAUAGACAAAAUGGAACAGAUUUGUAUGAGUUAAAAAAACAACAUGGCAUUCUAGCACCAUCCUGGUGGCACAGUGGACUAAUUCCAUGGAGACAAUAGAAAAUCAUAGGUUAAAAUCUCACUGAUGCCGUGCCACAACAAAAACAGUUAACCUAAGCUAGCAGUAUUAUUAAAAGGCUUAUAGAAACAUGUUGUCAGAACGUUAUUUAAUUACCUUCAAAUAACCAAUCAUUUCCGUUCUCAUAAAGGUUAAUAAAACCUCCCAGUAAAACUUUCAGGGAA
ensembl:lncRNA